UUUUCAGGUUAAUAGGGGUUUCUCGAAGAGAAAACGCGUGAUUUUCGGUCUAAAUGGGGGAUUCUCGAAGAGAAAUCGCGUGAUUUUCGCUUAAAUGGGGGUUUUCCGAUGAGAAAUGCUUGAUUUUUGCUUAAAUGGGGGAUUUGCAAAGGAAAGACCGCGUGAUUUUCGGGUUAAACAAUAGAUUUCCGAAUAGAAAACGUGUGAUUUUCGGGUCAAAUGGGGGAUUCUCGAAGAGAAAACGCGUGAUUUUCGGGUUAAAUGGGGGAUUCUCAAAGAGAAAACGCGUGAUUUUUGGGUUAAAUGGGGGAUUCUCGAAGAGAAAACGCGUGAUUUUACUAAGAGGAGGGAUUUGCGCGGAGAAAAUGCGUGAUUUUCGGGUUAAAUGCGGGAUUUUUGUAGAGAAAACGCAUAAUAUUCGCUUAAAUGAGAGAUUUUUGAAGAGAAAACGCGUGAUUUUCGGGUUAAAUGGGAAAUUAUCGAAGAGAAAACGCGCCAGCCGCGGGCCCGCACGGCGCAUGCGCCAGCCGCGGGCCCGCACGGCGCAUGCGCC
rnacentral:lncRNA from 7 species